AUCAUUUAUUCCGCUGUUGUGUUAUCUGUGCGACAAUUUAAUGAAUGAGUAGUUAUUGGUUUGAUAGAUUUUACAAAUGACAGUGUCGAAUUAUUGAAUUAAUUAAAAAAGUAAAGAAAUAUUCCAAAAGAGUAGUAUGACUUCCAUUAGUGAAACUAAUUCGUUACCAAAGACGAAAAAACCAUCGGAUAGUGCAUUCAAACAACAACGUUUACCUGCGUGGCAACCAAUACUUACUGCUGGAACUGUUUUGCCAACAUUUUUUGUAAUUGGAAUUGCUUUUAUACCAGUUGGAGUUGGAUUGCUUUAUUUUUCUGAUCAAGUUAAAGAAUAUAUUAUAGAUUAUACAGAUUGUAAUUCUACCAAUUAUGAGCGGACAAGAGGAGUGCCUUUUAAAUGUGCAGAUGUUAUAGCAGUUAAUCGUUCUGAACCAUGUUUUUGUCAAAUAAAUUUUACAUUACCUUUUGAUUUUAUUGGAAAAAUUUAUAUGUACUAUGGUUUGACUAAUUUUUAUCAAAAUCACAGGCGAUAUGUAAAAUCACGUGAUGAUAAUCAAUUAUUAGGAAAAUUAAGUGAUGUGGUCUCAGGUGACUGUGCACCAUUUGCCUAUGAUAGUGAGAAUAGACCUAUUGCACCAUGUGGUGCUAUUGCUAAUUCGUUAUUUAGCGAUGAACUAACACUGUUUUCUGUGAAACAUAAUACAUCUGUACCACUACUAAAAACUGGGAUAGCUUGGCCUUCAGAUAAAAAUAUUAAAUUUAGAAAUCCUGAGGGAGAUCUAAGGGAAGCAUUCAAGGAUUUUGCAAAACCAAAAAAUUGGAAUAAAUAUAUUUAUGAAUUAGAUGAAGAAAAUGAAAGUAAUAAUGGGUUUCAAAAUGAAGAUUUAAUUGUUUGGAUGAGAACUGCUGCAUUACCAAAUUUUAGAAAACUUUAUCGUAGAGUUGAUCAUACUGCUAAUGGUUUUACUGAAGGUUUGGUAAAAGGAGAUUAUUGGCUUAAUGUUACAUAUUCAUAUCCUGUAUCUGCAUUUUAUGGCAGGAAAAAAAUGAUUUUAAGCACCACAUCUCUUCUUGGUGGAAAAAAUCCUUUUCUUGGUAUAGCUUACAUAGUGGUAGGAUGCGUCUGUUUGUUAUUAGGCAUUACACUACUAAUAAUACACAUCAAAUGUUCAAAGAGUGUAACAGAGAUGAUCAAUGUGAGUCCAACUACACCAUACCAAGAAUAAUUGCACAUAGUUAUAUAGAUUGAAGGACAUUAUGGAUAUUCUGCAUUUAAUUUUAUAUUUUUUCUGCACUUUUAUAUUAAGCAAUAUGGUAUCUAAAAAAUUACCUAAUUUCUUACUGUUGUGUACUCACAUAUAAAAAAUAGUAUUGUGUAGUUAUAUACUACUUGUGGAAGAAUAAGAAGUAUAUAAUUAAUAUUACAGUCUAACAAAUAUUUAGUUAUAAAUAUAUAUUUUUUACAUGUAAAUGUAUUAGGAUAUCCAAAAUAAUUUCAUGAAAGAUCAAUUUUUUAUGUAAUUUGAAAAUACAGUGAAGAGAAAAGCAUGUACAGGAAUUUUUAUUAAUUAUAAAUAAGAAAUUUUUGUUUUAUAUU